GACUGGAUAACUUGGUGGCUUUGAAUUAACACCAUGAACACGUUUUAUUUUCCUUUGUUUACUAUCCUGUUUCUGCCUAAUGUUCAAUCACAGAUUUCUCUGUCACUGUCAGUUCCUGAACUAGUGAGACCUUCAGAGACAAUUACAUUAGACUGUAAAGUCACUGGUGCUGCAAUCACUGAUGGCAGUAAAAUUCAUGCUGUGGACUUUAUAAAGCAACUUGUAGAUGGUACAAUUGUGUUUUUGGCUCAUCUUAACUAUGCUCAGGGUACAGCAUACAACCCACUAUUAAAGAAUAGGCUCACCCUGUCAAGAGACACAGCUCAAAAUGAGGUAUCUCUGCAAAUAAGAGAAAUGAAACCAGAAGACACAGCAGUAUAUUACUGUGUCAAGGACACACAGUGUGUAAAAGAAAUGCAAGAACAUACUUUAAAAUGUAGUGACCGGCCAAUAAGAUUUUAA